AUCAUUUCUCGGCCUUUAGGCUAAGAUCAAGUGUAGUAUCUGUUCUUAUCAAUUUAAUACCUGCUACGUUCUUUGUCCGAGGCCAGUUAGGUUAAAUGGAUUUUGGGAGCAGGGAGUUGGAAUAGGAGCUUGCUCUGCCCACUGCACACAUUGACCUGCUAUUGGAGUACCUCCAGGAACCAUGCACCCUCC
rnacentral:snRNA from 1 species